rnacentral:rRNA from 1 species
GCUAAAUAAGAGCGUAUGGGGAAUGCCUUGGCUCUCAGAGGCGAUGAAGGACGUGAUAAGCUGCGAAAAGCUGCGGGGAUUGGCACAUACAAACUGAUCCGUAGAUAUCCGAAUGGGGCAACCCAGCAUGUUGAAGACAUGUUACACCGAAAGGUGAGCAAACCCGGAGAACUGAAACAUCUAAGUACCCGGAGGAGAAGAAAACAAAAGUGAUUCCGUUAGUAGUGGCGAGCGAAAGCGGAUUAGCCCAAACCAAUAUUGUUAAGGCAAUAUUGGGGUUGUAGGACUGCAAUAAUUGAACUGUAAUGAAUUAGAAUAGUUUGGAAAAACUAACCAAAGAGGGUGAUAGUCCCGUAUAAGUAAAGAACAGUAAGAUAGCAGUAUCCUGAGUAGUGCGGGACACGAGUAAUCCUGUGUGAAUCAGUCGGGACCAUCCGAUAAGGCUAAAUACUCCUGAGAGACCGAUAGUGAACUAGUACCGUGAGGGAAAGGCGAAA